rnacentral:tRNA from 1 species
GCUGGAAUAGCUCAGUUGGUAGAGCAACUGUUUUGUAAACAGUCGGUCCUGGGUUCGAGUCCCAGUUCCAGCU